rnacentral:snRNA from 1 species
AAAACUGUGACAAUAAAACCGUUCAAAAUAAAAAAUCUGUUCUUAUCAGUUAAAUAUCUGAUAUGUCCCCUACCCGGGGACUGCAUAUUAAAAGGAUUUUUGGAUCACGGAGCUGGAGCCGGGGCUUGCUCCGUCCACUCCAGGCAUCGUCCUGGUAUUGCAGUGUCUCCCGAAGCGGUGUGUUUCCC